GUGAGGAAUAUUGGUCAAUGGACGAGAGUCUGAACCAGCCAAGUCGGGUGAAGGAAGACGGUUCUAUGAAUUGUAAACUUCUUUUGUGCAGGAAUAAAGUGGGUUACGUGUAACCUUUUGUAUGUACUGUACGAAUAAGGAUCGGCUAACUCCGUGCCAGCAGCCGCGGUAAUACGGAGGAUCCGAGCGUUAUCCGGAUUUAUUGGGUUUAAAGGGUGCGUAGGUGGAUUGAUAAGUCAGCGGUGAAAGUUUGCAGCUUAACUGUAAAAUUGCCGUUGAAACUGUCGGUCUUGAGUGCAAAUGAGGUAGGCGGAAUGUGUUGUGUAGCGGUGAAAUGCUUAGAUAUAACACAGAACUCCGAUUGCGAAGGCAGCUUACUGGGAUGCAACUGACACUGAUGCACGAAAGCGUGGGUAUCAAACAGGAUUAGAUACCCCGGUAGUCC
rnacentral:rRNA from 1 species